UUGGGCUUAAGCGUCCGUAGCCGGCUUACAAGUNUCCUGUUAAAUUCANCGACCUAAUCGUUGANCCGCGGGAAAUACUAGCUACNGCUAGGAGGNGGGAGAGGUCGACGGUACUUCNGGGGUANGGGUGAAAUCCUAUAAUCCCGGGAGGACCACCAGUGGCGAAGGCUGUCNACUAGAACGCGCUCGACGGUGAGGGACGAAAGCUGGGGGAGCGAACCGGAUUAGAUACCCGGGUAGUCCCAGCUGUAAACGAUGCNGGCUAGGUGUUGGGGUGGCUACGUGCCACUUCAGUGCCGCAGGGAAGCCAUUAAGCCCGCCGCCUGGGGAGUACGGNCGCAAGGC
rnacentral:rRNA from 1 species